AAGAAACCAAAAGCCUCUUAGCAACACAGACCCUUUGCUGCUGCUGUUGCUGCUGCUGCUGCUGUUGCUGCUGCUGCUACUGCUGCUGCUGCUACUGCUGCUGCUUGGCCCUGGCUGGAGACAUCUCACUACACCCAGGAGCAGCCACUUCCCCAGCUCUCCUCCUCCUCCUUCGCCUCCUCCUCCUCCACUCCCCCCCUUUAUUACCCUUUGUGUCAUCCUCCACAGCUCCAGGGAAGGCACUCAAAAGUGGGGGGCAGGAAAGGGUUUUGCUUUGUCAUCCUGGCCAGAGUGCAGUGGCACAAUCACAGCUCACUGCAACCUCGACCUCCUGGGCUCAAGUGAUUCUCCCACCUCAGCCUGCUGAGUAGCUGGGACUACAGCCCACAUAUGACAGUGGACAUAGAGGACAACGCAGAUAUAGAACAUUUCUUUUAUCACAAGUCUCGCUCUGUCUUCCAGGCUGGAGUGCAGGAGUGCAGUGGUGCCAUCGCUCCCUGCAACCUCCGCCUCCCGGGUUCAAGCGAUUCUCCUGCCUCAGCCUUCUGAGUAACUGGGACUACAUGCGCGUGCCACCACGCUCGGCUAAUUUUUUGUAUUUUUAGUAGAGAUGGGGUUUCACUGUGUUAUCCAGGAUGGUCUCGAUCUCCAGACCUCAUGACCCGCCCGCCUCGGCCUUCCAAAGUGCUGGGAUUACAGUCGUGUGCCACCGCGCUUGGCCGUUUAUUGAAUAGGUUUUUCUUUACCAUUGAUUUUCAGUGUCUACUUGGUCUUAUAAUUGUAUUUCCAUAUGUGUAUGGGUCAGCUUCUGAACUCACUAUUGUGUUGCAUUGGUGAAGUAGUUCUGAAUCUUCCCUUAAUUGCUGUAAGUUUAGAUAAGUCUUGGUAGUUGAUAAUGUAAGACAUGUCACAUAGUACUCUGUUAGAAAUUUCAUAAUCAGUUUGGCAUGUUCUAUAAGAAAUCUUGUGGGGAUUUUGAUUGGAAUUGAUCUAAUUAUUAUAAUUUAAUUUUAUGUCCAAGACCAUGGAAUACCUCUCCUUAUAUUUUACUCUACUUUAAUGUCUCUCAA
rnacentral:sRNA from 1 species